rnacentral:misc_RNA from 1 species
AACGCACAUUGCGCUCCCUGGUAUUCCUAGGAGCAUGUCUGUCUGAGCGUCAGUACACACCCUCUGGUCGCCCCUUUUGUCGGGCGGCGACCGGGUCCUGAGGGGAGCGUCUUCUCGCACCCUCUAAAGUGGAAAGCCAGCGGCCCGCCUGCCCUCGAAAGACGUAGUAACUCGAAAGACCUCGUCCGCGAAAGGGUUCGAAGGUGCAGGGCUCGCCUCGAAGCCAACUACCUAAGGCUUGACCUCAGAUCAGACAAGAGUACCCGCUGAACUUAA